AACCCUUGAUCUUAGUUGCCAUCAUUAAGUUGGGCACUCUAAGGUGACUGCCGGUGACAAACCGGAGGAAGGUGGGGAUGACGUCAAAUCAUCAUGCCCCUUAUGACCUGGGCUACACACGUGCUACAAUGGACGGUACAAAGAGCUGCAAGACCGCGAGGUGGAGCUAAUCUCAUAAAACCGUUCUCAGUUCGGAUUGUAGGCUGCAACUCGCCUACAUGAAGCUGGAAUCGCUAGUAAUCGCGGAUCAGCAUGCCGCGGUGAAUACGUUCCCGGGCCUUGUACACACCGCCCGUCACACCACGAGAGUUUGUAACACCCGAAGUCGGUGGGGUAACCUUUAUGGAGCCAGCCGCCUAAGGUGGGACAGAUGAUUGGGGUGAAGUCGUAACAAGGUAGCCGUAUCGGAAGGUGCGGCUGGAUCACCUCCUUUCUAUGGA
rnacentral:rRNA from 1 species